UACGAAGGGGGCUAGCGUUGUUCGGAAUUACUGGGCGUAAAGCGCACGUAGGCGGAUUGUUAAGUGAGGGGUGAAAUCCCAGGGCUCAACCCUGGAACUGCCUUUCAUACUGGCAAUCUCGAGUCCGAGAGAGGUGAGUGGAAUUCCGAGUGUAGAGGUGAAAUUCGUAGAUAUUCGGAGGAACACCAGUGGCGAAGGCGGCUCACUGGCUCGGUACUGACGCUGAGUGAGCGAAAGCCAGGGGAGCAAACGGG
rnacentral:rRNA from 1 species